UUUUGUUUUUAUGGCAGAUUGAUCAUCUGGGUCUUUGAUAAACCAUAUUUUGUUUGGUUAUUGGCUUCAAUUUUGGGUUCAGGUGGAUUAGUGGCGAUUCGUUGUUUUUUUGUUAUGUCCUGUGGUUUUUGAAGGAAAUUAUCUAUUUUAGCUGUAUUCUCUGAUUUUCUGAUUUGAUUUUAGAUUUUGUGUAAUCUUCUCAUGGUUUUUGAAAAUGGGUUAUUGUAUAAAGGUUUUCAAUUUUGAUAUCUUGCUUUCAAUUCUAUAGAUACACUCAUUUUCUGGUGUUUGUUCUUCAAUUUGAGACUAUGCCUUCUAUUACUUUGCAAUGGCCUUUCGAGAUGAAAAUUAGGAUUUGUUUAAGAACAAAACUUUUCCAUCCCGCAGUCAUUUAACUGGAUAUGCUCUGAAGUUUUUCAUGGUUAAUUGCUUCCAAUAGAAGCGAGACUGAUGAACACUUUUUCUUUGUCAUGCAGGUCCUUGGUUUUUCCUUUCAGAUUUCAUGCUAUAACAUUUAAUCUAAAUACUGAAUUUACUGAUGGGGUCUGAAGGGCCUCCUGCUGUAACAAUCCAUGUGACAGGAUUUAAGAAAUUCCAUGGAGUUUCAGAGAAUCCAACUGAAACUAUUGUCAGUAAUCUCAAUGAGUACAUGAAGAAGAAGGGUUUGCCAAAAGGUGUCAUACUGGGGAGCUGUAGCGUUCUAGAAACUGCAGGACACGGAGCAAUUGUGCCCUUGUACCAGACAUUUCAAAAUGCCCUUAAAACAAACAACUCUGAAUCAUCAAAUUCUGGGAGAGUUAUUUGGGUUAGUUGCCCCCAUGUUUCCUUAGCCAUCUAUCAAUCGGCCGCAUGUUUCGUGAUGAUUCUAUUUGAAUUUUUUGGGUUUUGCUUGAUUACUGUUUUCUCUACUUUUUUCUUCAGCUACACUUUGGGGUUAAUAGUGGAGCAACAAAAUUUGCCAUUGAGAAUCAAGCUGUCAAUGAAGCUACUUUUCGGUGUCCUGAUGAGAUGGGAUGGAAACCACAG
rnacentral:lncRNA from 1 species